rnacentral:rRNA from 1 species
AGUGUAGGCGGUUACUUAAGUCGGAUGUGAAAGCCCUGGGCUCAACCUGGGAAUGGCAUUCGAUACUGGGUAACUAGAGUUUGGUAGAGGUAAGUGGAAUUCCGGGUGUAGCGGUGAAAUGCGUAGAUAUCCGGAGGAACAUCAGUGGCGAAGGCGGCUUACUGGACCAAAACUGACGCUGAGGCUCGAAAGCGUGGGGAGCAAACAGGAUUAGAUACCCUGGUAGUCC